rnacentral:rRNA from 1 species
GAUGAACGCUGGCGGCGUGCCUAAUACAUGCAAGUCGAGCGAACGGACGAGAAGCUUGCUUUUCUGAUGUUAGCGGCGGACGGGUGAGUAACACGUGGAUAACCUACCUAUAAGACUGGGAUAACUUCGGGAAACCGGAGCUAAUACCGGAUAAUAUUUUGAACCGCAUGGUUCAAAAGUGAAAUACGGUCUUGCUGUCACUUAUAGAUGGAUCCGCGCUGCAUUAGCUAGUUGGUAAGGUAACGGCUUACCAAGGCAACGAUGCAUAGCCGACCUGAGAGGGGGAUAGGACACACUGGAACGGAGACACGGUCAAGACGCCUACGGGAGGAAGCAGUAGGGAAUCGUCCGCAAUGGGCGAAAGCAUGACGGAGCAACGCCGCGUGAGUGAUGAAGGUCUUCGGAUCGUAAAACUCUGUUAUUAGGGAAGAACAUAUGUGUAAGUAACUGUGCACAUCUUGACGGUACCUAAUCAGAAAGCCACGGCUAACUACGUG